AAACAAGAAUGCUAAUACCGGACUAAUAAACAGAUGAUGCCUAUCAACUGUUUAAAAGUAAUGGUUCUGCUAUCACUCUUGGAUGGACCUGCGGUGCAUUAGCUAGUUGGUAGGGUAACGGCCUACCAAGGCGAUGAUGCAUAGCCGAGUUGAGAGACUGAUCGGCCACAUUGGGACUGAGACACGGCCCAAACUCCUACGGGAGGCAGCAGCC
rnacentral:rRNA from 1 species